AUUGAACGCUGGCGGCAGGCCUAACACAUGCAAGUCGAGCGAGCGGCGGACGGGUGAGUAAUGUAUGGGAAACUGCCUGAUGGAGGGGGAUAACUACUGGAAACGGUGGCUAAUACCGCAUACCAUCCGAUGAACCCAUAUGGGAUUAGCUAGUAGGUGGGGUAAAGGCUCACCUAGGCGACGAUCCCUAGCUGGUCUGAGAGGAUGACAGGCCACACUGGAACUGAGACACGGCCCAGACUCCGACGGUAGGCAGCAGUGGGGAAUAUUGCACAAUGGGCGCAAGCCUGAUGCAGCCAUGCCGCGUGUGUGAAGAAGGCCUUAGGGUUGUAAAGCACUUUCAGCGGGGAGGCGUUACUCGCAGAAGAAGCACCGGCUAACUCCGUGCCAGCAGCCGCGGUAAUUC
rnacentral:rRNA from 1 species